rnacentral:lncRNA from 1 species
UAGUUAGUCUUCAUGAUCUAGCCCUUGCUGAGCCCAGGGUUCUUAUGCCUUCUCACAUCUUCUGUUUCUUGCAUCUCAUAGUCUAACUGUGUCAAAUUAUUUCCAUAGUCUCAACAUGCACCCUACUCCUUCCCACUUCCACGUCUUGGUCUAGACUGCUCGUCCUACAUGGGAUGUACUCCUCAGUGAGCAUGUCUACCUGGUCAACAGACAUCAUCUUUGGAGGCUCAUCUCAAGAGGAACCAGUCUCGUGACUGGGUCCUGACCCAAGCAGCUGUUCCUACUCUUUAUUGGGUGAUCAUUUCUGCAUUUUCUACUCUUUCCUCCUGCACGCUGAGACUAGGAACCUCUCAUCUGUGUCUAUGACUCCCUCACAGUUCUUCAGAUAGGAUUCAGACAAGCAAAGGUGUGGAUUGCAUGAUGGGUAGCAGGAAACCCCUUAGCUGUGUUUGUUCUGCUGUCACAGUACCUGAUUGACACAUGGGGACUGGGAGUAACCCAAGAUCUUCACAGAUGCUUCUAUCGUUUUUCCUGUGUCUACUGGCAUCUAGAUCUUUGAAGUACCAUCAUUAUAGUUACCACUGAUGGUGACAGAGGCGGUGCUAGCAGGAAGAGCCCAGUUGAACUAAGAUUGGAUCCAGACUCUGAGUCUGUCACCCAUUCUCUGGAUGCCUCUCAACGAGUAACUUAACAUCUCAAAUUCUUAAUACCCUUGCUAUAAACUGGAGUUGUAAAAAUAAUAAUGUGUAUUC